GAUGAACGCUAGCUACAGGCUUAACACAUGCAAGUCGAGGGGUAGCAGGGUAGCAAUACCGCUGACGACCGGCGCACGGGUGAGUAACACGUAUCCAACCUUCCCAUAACUCGGGGAUAGCCUUUCGAAAGAAAGAUUAAUACCCGAUAGUACUUUUUCAAGGCAUCUUGAGAAAGUUAAAGAUUUAUUGGUUAUGGAUGGGGAUGCGUUCCAUUAGAUAGUUGGUGAGGUAACGGCUCACCAAGUCUUCGAUGGAUAGGGGUUCUGAGAGGAAGGUCCCCCACAUUGGUACUGAGACACGGACCAAACUCCUACGGGAGGCAGCAGUGAGGAAUAUUGGUCAAUGGGCGAGAGCCUGAACCAGCCAAGUAGCGUGAAGGAUGAAGGUCCUAUGGAUUGUAAACUUCUUUUAUAGUAGAAUAAAGUGAUCCACGUGUGGAUUUUUGUAUGUAUACUAUGAAUAAGGAUCGGCUAACUCCGUGCCAGCAGCCGCGGUAGUAC
rnacentral:rRNA from 1 species